rnacentral:rRNA from 1 species
CAGUAGCCGCGGUAAUACAGAGGGUGCAAGCGUUAAUCGGAUUUACUGGGCGUAAAGGGCGCGUAGGUGGUUAUUUAAGUGAGAUGUGAAAUCCCCGGGCUUAACCUGGGAACUGCAUCUUAUACUGGGUAACUGGAGUGCAGUAGAGGGUAGUGGAAUUUCCGGUGUAGCGGUGAAAUGCGUAGAUAUCGGAAGGAACACCAGUGGCGAAGGCGGCUACCUGGACUGAGACUGACACUGAGGCGCGAGAGCGUGGGGAGCAAACAGGAUUAGAUACCCGGGUAGUCCCUGUCUCUUAUAC